rnacentral:rRNA from 1 species
GAAGGCUUCGGCCUUAGUGGCGCACGGGUGAGUAACACGUGGGAACCUGCCUUUCGGUUCGGGAUAACGUCUGGAAACGGACGCUAACACCGGAUACGCCCUUUGGGAGAAAGUUUACGCCGAGAGAGGGGCCCGCGUCCGAUUAGGUAGUUGGUGGGGUAAUGGCCCACCAAGCCGACGAUCGGUAGCUGGUCUGAGAGGAUGAUCAGCCACACUGGGACUGAGACACGGCCCAGACUCCUACGGGAGGCAGCAGUGGGGAAUAUUGGACAAUGGGGGCAACCCUGAUCCAGCAAUGCCGCGUGAGUGAUGAAGGCCUUAGGGUUGUAAAGCUCUUUCGCACGCGACGAUGAUGACGGUAGCGUGAGAAGAAGCCCCGGCUAACUUCGUGCCAGCAGCCGCGGUAAUACGAAGGGGGCGAGCGUUGUUCGGAAUUACUGGGCGUAAAGGGCGCGUAGGCGGCGCAUUAAGUCAGGAGUGAAAGCCCCGGGCUCAACCUGGGAACGGCUCUUGAUACUGGUGCGCUUGAGUUCCGGAGAGGAUGGUGGAAUUCCCAGUGUAGAGGUGAAAUUCGUAGAUAUUGGGAAGAACACCGGUGGCGAA